rnacentral:tRNA from 1 species
GCCCACGUAGCUCAGCGGUAGAGCAACCGCCUUGUAAGCGGUAGGUCGCCAGUUCAAUCCUGGCCGUGGGCU